ensembl:miRNA Gm27440 predicted gene, 27440
GGGAGUCCUUUGUGGGCCCUUGCAGGUGUUGGGCAAGACUCUGCUGGCAAGGUAGCCCGGGGCUCGAGUGGAGCAGAAGGGGCUUGUGCCCCAGAUCAGGCCCGGGU